GACGAACGCUGGCGGCGUGCUUAACACAUGCAAGUCGAACGGAAAGGCCCUGCUUGCAGGGUACUCGAGUGGCGAACGGGUGAGUAACACGUGGGUGAUCUGCCCUGCACUUCGGGAUAAGCCUGGUAAACUGGGUCUAAUACCGGAUAGGAGCCAUUUUUAGUGUGAUGGUUGGAAAGUUUUUUCGGUGUAGGAUGAGCUCGCGGCCUAUCAGCUUGUUGGUGGGGUAAUGGCCUACCAAGGCGGCGACGGGUAGCCGGCCUGAGAGGGUGGACGGCCACAUUGGGACUGAGAUACGGCCCAGACUCCGACGGGAGGCAGCAGGGGGGAAUAUUGCACAAUGGGCGCAAGCCUGAUGCAGCGACGCCGCGGGGGGGAGGACGGCCUUCGGGUUGGAAACUCCUUUCGCUAGGGACGAAGCUUUUUGUGACGGUACCUAGAGAAGAAGCACCGGCUAACUACGUG
rnacentral:rRNA from 1 species